rnacentral:rRNA from 1 species
GAUGAACGCUAGCGGCAGGCCUAAUACAUGCAAGUCGAACGGGAUCUGAGGGUAGCUUGCUACCCGACUUGAGAGUGGCGCACGGGUGCGUAACGCGUGAGCAACCUACCCAUAUCAGGGGGAUAGCCCGAAGAAAUUCGGAUUAACACCGCAUAAUAAUACGCUAACACAUGUUGAUGUAUUUAAAUAUUUAUAGGAUAUGGAUGGGCUCGCGUGACAUUAGCUAGCUGGUAAGGUAACGGCUUACCAAGGCGACGAUGUCUAGGGGCUCUGAGAGGGGAAUCCCCCACACUGGUACUGAGACACGGACCAGACUCCUACGGGAGGCAGCAGUAAGGAAUAUUGGUCAAUGGGCGCAAGCCUGAACCAGCCAUGCCGCGUGCAGGAUGACUGCCCUAUGGGUUGUAAACUGCUUUUGUUAGGGAAUAAACCUUCUUACGUGUAAGGAGUUGAAUGUACCUAAAGUAUAAGGAUCGGCUAACUCCGUGCCAGCCGCCGCCGUAA